GAACGAGGUCCAACCUUCGGGUGAAGACCGAGUGGCGAACGGGUGAGUAACACGUGGGGAACCUACCCUUCUCUCUGGGAUAACGUCGAGAAAUCGGCGCUAAUACCGGAUACUCCUUGCGGAUCGCAUGGUCUGCUUGGGAAAGCUCCGGCGGAGAGGGACGGCCCCGCGGCCCAUUAGCUAGUUGGUGAGGUAACGGCCCACCAAGGCGACGAUGGGUAGCCGAGCUGAGAGGCUGAUCGGCCACACUGGGACUGAGACACGGCCCAGACUCCUACGGGAGGCAGCAGUGGGGAAUCUUGCGCAAUGGGCGAAAGCCUGACGCAGCAACGCCGCGUGCGGGAUGAAGGCCCUCGGGUCGUAAACCGCUUUCAGCAGGGAUGAAACUGACAGUACCUGCAGAAGAAGCCCCGGCUAAAUACGUGCCAGCAGCCGCGGUAAUACGUAUGGGGCAAGCGUUAUCCGGAUUUAUUGGGCGUAAAGCGCGCGUAGGCGGCUUGUUAAGUCAGAUGUGAAAUCCGGGGGCUCAACCCGCGGCUUGCAUCUGAAACUGGCAGGCUUGAGUCUGGUAGAGGAAAGUGGAAUUCCUGGUGUAGCGGUGAAAUGCGCAGAUAUCAGGAGGAACACCAGUGGCGAAGGCGGCUUUCUGGGCCACGACUGACGCUGAGGCGCGAAAGCUA
rnacentral:rRNA from 1 species